rnacentral:lncRNA from 1 species
UUAACCAACUACAGUCCCCAGAAUUCUCUGAGGGAUAAGAAUGCGCUUCAAAGGCACACAGUCUUUUGCCUCGGACCUUUUCGAAGAAUGCAUCUGCGUGGCUUCUUAUGUGCGCAGCCUGUAGCGUGGUCAAGACAGGAACCAUUAAUGGGCUUUAAAAUAGCGUAGACAACUGAAGAGCACCAGGCUCCACUCUUCACCACCCCAGCCACCAGCUCCUUGGCGCUGGACCUCCUUCUUUAAAUUGUGCUUGCUUGCUUGGGUUUAUAAAUAUAGAAACCUAAGCUAUACGAUGCCCCCCCUCCAAACUUGCCCCUCCCAUCUCAGCCUGGUGCAGUUCCUUCAGCUGCUCCUAUACUUGGUAUGACCUUUUCCCAUCUCUUCCCCACCCCCUUCCCGGCCCUCUCCCUUUCCUUGCUCUUUUCCUCCCCAGUGUUGUGAGCCUGGUGGCCAAUGAGCUUCUCCAGAAGAUCAAAUGUCCCUAUAACAGGAGGACUUAAUCGCCUGGUGGAGUUUGCAGACCCCGCAGCCUUUCUCCCAUUCGGCAGAAAGCUCCUUGCUUCUCACAGCAGCUCCCCCCUCUCAGGGUCCCACGAUCUACCAGGAUCAGCCAGGGAUCUACUGGUAGAUCAUGAUCUACUGGUUGGAGAUGCCUGAUAUACAGCUACUAAACCUGCCAACAUGUCUGACAACGAAGAAGUGUAAGUAGAAGCGUAUCAAUAUUACCAUUGGUUUUAAAGGGCAUUUUUUUGGGGGGGGAGGGAGGUUUUCUGGUAGUAUGAAACAACUGGCCCUCACAGGUACGAAGUCAAUGACCUGUUCCGAAAUCAAUGAGGAGAAGCAACACCUAAUUUUACUGCAUUUAUUUAUUUAUUUAUUUAUUUAUUUAUUUAUGAAGUCAUAUGACCUAGGGCCAAAUCCACAACCUUAAAUAGCCGGUGCUUUUUGCUGCUUGCACAGAUCAUGGGCAGAAUGUACCGUAUUUUUCGCCCUAUAGGACGCACCGGCCCAUAGGACACACCUAGAUUUUGGGGGGUAAAAUAAAGGGGAAAAAAUUAUUUCCCCCCCCAGGCGCGGGGCUGGGGCGGGGGAAGCGCGGGCUUCCCCGACGCCAGCCCCCAGAACAGAACCCAGAGGAGCAGGACCUCUGGGAGCGUGUGGGAGCAGAACAGGACCUCUGGGAGCUUGUGGGGCUGGGGGCGGGGAAAGCAGAGCUUCCCUCUCCCCCAGCCC